rnacentral:lncRNA from 1 species
CUCUACUUUUGUAAUGACACAGGGUUAGGAAACAGACGGAUGAAAUAUGAAAGUUUUGAAGCAGAAAAAGUUUUCAUGUGUUUAAUUUUAAGUGGAAAAUUUAGAGCAAGAUGGGCACCCCCGACCCUGGAAUAACAGCAUGAAAGCAUGCUUGCAACCAUUAAAGGAAGGAAGUGGAGAGACCUCGGUGGGGUGCACACUUUUGGGUACAGAAGGGAGGGUGACUGUCUUUUCUGCAGCAGGCACUUCUUGGUAAGGUCAUAGUUUGGGAAGCGGAGGAGAAUGUGGGCCCCAGAAUGGGGUACUGGCAGGGCUCGAUCUUUCGUCCUUGAAACUCAUUGUCUGUGUUAGGUUCUGCAGAAGUAGGCCCAGAGAUGACUUUCAUAGUUCAGAUCCUGUGAGGUAUCCCAGGAAACACAGGCGAUGGCUGGGCCUGGGAAGGCAGUCUUUGUGCACAGAAGUCACCGUUGUUUUGGUUCUCU